CAAAAACAUCGCUCUCUGAAAUUAAGUUAUUUUAUUAUUAAUUAUAUAUAGAGAGUCGAACCUGCCCGGUGACUAAUAUUGUUAAACGGCCGCGGUACUCUGACCGUGCAAAGGUAGCAUAAUCAUUUGCCUUUUAAUUGAAGGCUUGUAUGAAUGGUUUGACGAGAACUAAACUGUCUCUUUUUAAAUAUAUAAAAAUUAAUUUUUAGGUGAAGAAGCCUGUAUUUAAUUGAGGGACAAGAAGACCCCGUUGAGCUUUAGUGAUUUGAUAAAUUUUCAUGAAAUAAUUAAAUUUUCAUUUUAUUACAUUAAUUGAAAAUAUUAUUUAUUAAGAAUCUUUAGUUGGGGCGACUGAGGAACAUAACUAGCUUCCUUUAAAUAAUAUUUUAUGGAAGUCAAUCCAUUAAUUUUAUGAUCCAGUACUUACUGAUUAAAGGAAAAAGUUACCACGGGGAUAACAGCGUAAUCUUUCUAAAGAGUUCUUAUCGAAGGAAGGGUUUGCGACCUCGAUGUUGGAUUAAGAUAUCCUAGAGAUGUAGAAGUUUCUAAUGGUUAGUCUGUUCGACUAUUAAAAUCUUACGUGAUCUG
rnacentral:rRNA from 1 species